CAGAAAUGUGCGAAUUUGCCCUUGGCAAUAGUUGCUGUUGGAAAAGCUUUAAAGAUUAACAAGGACAAAGAUGCUUGGGAAAAUGCUCUACAACGAUUGGAAAAGCAAGAAUUAGAACCUGUUAAAUUUUCGGACAAGGUUGUUUUUGCAUCUUGUCAACAUUUGAGACUUUGUUGUUAUCCUGAGCUAGAGCAGCAGCUAUGGCAGGGGAAAGUUUUCCACCAGACAACUGCUUUAACAAUCUAAGAACACUGAUAGUGGAGAAUUGUUCCUUUCUGUCACAAGUGUUCCCUUCAAACUUACUUCCUUACUUUAAGAACUUGGAGGAGUUGGAGGUAAGUUGGAGUCCAGUGGAGGUUAUUUUUGAUAUGGAUGGCAACAGGUUGACAGAAACAAAUGGAAAGCCCUUUCAUUUGAGAAGAAUGAUUUUAAAGAGCUUGCCGAAUUUGAAGUGUAUAUGGAGCAAAGAUCCUUGUGGCACUAUAAGUUUUCCAAAUCUGAAAGAAAUGGUUGUUAUUGACUGUACGGGUAUAAAAACUGUUUUUCUGGCAUCUGUGGGAAAAAAUCUUGUGAGGCUCCAAAAACUUGAAAUAGGCCUAUGUGAUGGCUUGGAAGAAAUAUUUGGAAAGGAAGAAGCAGAAGCGGAUGGAGUCAGUAGAAAAUUUGAAUUCCGUUACUUAGCCUCUUUGAAUCUGCAUGGUUUACCGAGCCUCAAGUUUUUUUAUCCUGGAAGAUAUACUCUCGAGUGUCCCAACUUGGAGAGGCUACACGUGUUUGAUUGCAAUAAGCUGGAUGCAUUCGCAUUAGAUUUUCCGAGUCAUCGAGGAGAAGUAGGAUGUGAGGAUGAAGCUGAUAUUACAACUGACAGGCAACCUCUUUUCCUGGAUGAAAAGGUUAUUCCGAACUUGGGCGCAUUAACCCUCAAUGGGAAAGACGUGAUGAUGUUAUCACAUGAAAAUUUUCUUGAUGACCUGCUUCACAAGCUGAAAUACCUGGGUCUGUACUUUGGUGAUUCCCAUGAAGCAGGAGCUACUCUGCCUUUUAAAUUCUUUCACAAGGUGCCUAAUUUAGAAUCUCUUGGUAUAAGAAGUUUCAAUGAACUGGAUGAGAUGUUCCCCUCCCAAAGACCUGAAGAUAUUGAUCAUGUCAUCAAUAUACUUACGCAAGUGGAAGAAUUAUCCAUGCAUUGUUUGCCAAUGCUCUCCUCCAUUGGAUUACAUAAUUCCUGGGUGGACCCACUUCACAAGAAUCUGAGAGUCCUGGACAUAUAUGAUUGUCCUCGUUUGACUAUUCUGGUGCCUUCAUCUGCGGUAUCCUUUUGCAAUUUGAAACGAUUGGAAAUAAGGGGAUGCCAUGGGUUAGUUUCUCUGUUCUCAUCUUCAGUAGCCAGAAGUUUGGGGCGACUUGAAAGAAUGGAGAUAACUGAUUGUAGAUCAAUAGCACAAAUAGUGAAUCAUGGGAGCGGUGAGUCAACUCCAGAAGAGAUGAUUUUUGAACGGCUUACAUUUAUAACUAUGAGUCAGUUACCAAGGCUGGUGUGUUUUUAUUCGGGGAAUGCCACUUUAGAAUUCUCAGCUCUGAGAGAAGCGACCAUAGAACAAUGCCCGAAGAUGAAAUGUUUCUCUCAAGGAGCAGUAAGGGCGCCCUACUUUGUAGGAAUAAGAGCUCCAAGGGACGGAGUUGCUUGGCACGGCUAUAGUGAUCUCAACACAACAGUGCAGAAAUUGUUUGACGAGAAGUUGGAGCAGCUGGCACAAUUUGCACGUGAUGUGCAGCAAAUGAAUCUCAAAGAUCAUUGUGAGCUUGAAGAUAUAUGGCUUGAUAAAAUGGCAGUCCCUGAUGGAGGGUUCAAUCGGUUGAAGACUUUGACAGUGGAUAGUUGCUAUUUCUUAUCAAAGAAUGUGAUCCCUUUUCACUUGCUUGGCUUCCUUUGUAACUUGGAAGUUUAGAAGUACGAAAUUGUGGUUCUGUAAAGGCAAUAUUUGAGGUGGGAUCCCUGUCUUCCCCAUUCUCCUUUCUCUUGAAAACAUUGACCUUGGAACGUCUCUCUAAUCUGGAGAAUGUUUGGAAUAAUGAGGACCCUCAUGAAUUUCUCAGCUUCCAAUCUUUGCAACGUAUGUCUGUUAAUGAAUGUAGAAGUCUCAAGAGCUUAUUUCCAGCAUCAAUGGCUGCACCAGGCAAACUUGUGAGUGUUGAAAAACUAGAAGUGGAAGAUUGUGUGGAAUUAGUAGAAAUUGUUGCCAAGGAUGAAACAACUCCAAGAGGAGCAGCUUCAAACUCAAUUCUAUUUCCCAGCUUAACCAUGUUGAAGCUAGGCAGAUUGCCAAAGCUCAAGUGCAUCUAUUCAGGACAAAAUAAUCUGGAAUGGCCCAGGUUACAAGAAUUGGUUGUAUAUCAGUGCAGUUUGCUAAAGAAUUUCCCAGCAUUGGGUCAAGAUCAUUUUCCAGUUGAUGCGGAAAAGGUUUUUCCCAACCUCGAGCAUCUUUCACUUAGCGGGGAAAACAUCUUGCAUACUUGGCAAGCCCCGAUUAAGGCAAAGCUUCUUCAAAGAGUGAAAUUUCUGGAAUUGAAAUUCAUUGGUUUUGAUUAUGAUAAAUUUCCAUAUGGAUUUUUCCAAAAGGAAUUACUACCCCAUGUAAAAAGCUUCAAGUGUAUGGGGGUAACUUCAAAGAGAUAUUUACCUCUGAAAUAUCAAGUAUGGAAGGCAAUGGUGAUAUGUUCUUUUCUGAAUUGAAAAUUUUAGAAUUAAUGUCGCAGUCGAAGCUCUAUUUAAUCGGGCUGGAGCACAUGCCUCUACCUAGACACCUAGAAAUGUUGAAAGUGGAUUGAUUGUCCUUGUUUGAUCAACUUGGCACCAUCUACUGUGGCUUUCUCAAAUUUAAGGGGUCUACAUGUGAGUAAUUGCAUGGCAUUGCAAUAUUUGUUCACAUCCUCAACGGCAAAAGGUUUACUUUACUUGAAGAGUUAACAGUAAGUUCAUGUGGAUCAAUACAACAAAUAGUGGGUGAAGGAGGAAAAUCAGGUGCAGAUGAAAUUACAUUCAGGAAACUCAAAACAUUGUCUCUUUCUGAUUUGCAUAGUCUUGGAAGCUUUCAGGGGAAAUUCUACUCUGAACUCCCAUCAUUGGAACUUGUGAUUGUUCAUGAGUGUCCGAGAAUGAAAAUUUUUUCCCAUGGAGUUAUAAAUGCAUCUCAGCUUGUACAAUUUCAGCCAAUCCUCUUGACACGCACCAAAAUUCUCGUCCAGAGUAUAGUGGCAGGGAUCUAAAUGCCGCGAUUUCUCAUUUACAGCUGGCACAAUUUGCACGUGAUGUGCAGCAAAUGAAUCUCAGAGAUCAUUUUGAGCUUGCAGAUAUAUGGCUUGAUAAAGUGGCAGUCCCUGAUGGAGGGUUCAAUCGGUUGAAGACUUUGACAGUGGAUAGUGUCUAUUUCUUAUCAAAGAAUGUGAUCCCUUUUCGCUUGCUUGGCUUCCUUUGUAACUUGGAAGUUUUAGAAGUACGAAAUUGUGGUUUGGUAAAGGCAAUAUUUGAGGUGGGAUCCCUGUCUUCCCCAUUCUCCUUUCUCUUGAAAACAUUGACCUUGGAAGGUCUCUCUAGUCUGGAGAAUGUUUGGAAUUAUGAGGACCCUCAUGAAUUUCUCAGCUUCCAAUCUUUGCAACGUGUGUCUGUUAAGGAAUGUAUAAGGCUCAAGAGCUUAUUUCCACCAGGCAAACUUGUAAAUGUUGAAAAUCUAACCACGUUGGAGCUACGCAGAUUGCCAGAGCUCAAGUGCAUCUAUUCAGGGCAAAAUAUUCUGGAAUGGCCCAAGUUACAAAAGUUGGUUGUAUAUCAGUGCAUUUUGCUAAAGAAUUUCCCAGCAUUGGGUCAAGAUCAUUUUCCAGUUGAUGCGGAAAAGGUUUUUCCCAACCUUGAGCAUCUUUCACUUAGCGGGGAAAACAUCUGGCAUACUUGGCAAGCCCCGAUUAAGGCAAAGCUUCUUCAAAGAGUGAAAUUUCUGGAAUUGAAAUUCGCUGGUUAUGAUUAUGAUAAAUUUCCAUAUGGAUUUUUCCAAAAGGAAUUGCUACCCCAUGUAAAAAAGGUUCACGUGUGUGGGGGUAGCUUGAAAGAGAUAUUUACCUCUGAAAUAUCAAAUAUGGAAGGCAAUGGUGAUAUGGUCUUUCUGAAUUGAAAAUUUUAGAAUUAAUGCAUCAGUGGAUGCUCAAUUUAAUCGGGCUGGAGCACACUCCUCUACCUAGACACCUAGAAAUGUUGAAAGUGGAUGAUUGUCCUUGUUUGAUCAACUUGGCACCAUCUACUGUGGCUUUCUCAAAUUUAAGGGGUCUACAUGUGAGUAAUUGCAGGGCAUUGCAAUAUUUGAUCACAUCCUCAACGGCAAAAAGUUUUACUUUACUUGAAGAGUUAACAGUAAGUUCAUGUAGAUCAAUACAACAAAUAGUUGGUGAAGGAGGAAAUGAAUCAGGUGCAGAUGAAAUUACAUUCAGGAAACUCAAAACAUUGUCUCUUUCUGAUUUGGACAGUCUUGGAAGCUUUCUAGUUGGAAAUUCUCCUCUUAACUUCCCAUCAUUGGAACUUGUGACUGUUCAUGAGUGUCCGAGAAUGAGAAUUUUUUCCCAUGGAGAUAUAAAUGCAUCUAAGGUUGUACAAUUUUCAGCCAAUCCUCUUGAUACGCGCCAAAAUUCUCGUCCAGAGUAUAGUGGCAGGGAUCUAAAUGUCGGGAUAUUUCAUUUACGGCUUGCAAACCGUGCACAAGACGAAUAUCUGGAGCUUUGAGAUAACCCGGAGCUACUGGAAGUAUGGCAGUGUGUUGUGCCAGUCCCAGAUAGAGAGGCUUUUGUAACUUGACGGAUCUGACAGUGCAUGGUUGCCAAUCUUUGACACAUGCGAUUCCCUCUCACUUGGUCCCCUUCCUCUGUAGCUUGAAAUGGUUAACAGUACGAGAUUGCAAUGCUGUCAAGGCAAUAGUUGAUGUGGGUCCCAUGUCCACGCCUUUCUCCUUUGCACUGGAAACAUUGACGUUGGAACAAUUACCCAAUCUGGAACAUGUUUGGAACGAGGAUCCUAAGGAAAUUAUCAGCUUCCAAUGUUUGCAGGAAGUGUGUAUUGAUGGGUGCAGUGGCCUCAAAAGCUUGUUUCCAGCAUCAAUGGCCCAGGGCAAACUUGAAAGCCUCAGGGAACUAAAAGUGAAAAAUUGUGAACAAUUAGUAGAAAUUGUUGCCGGGUAUGAAACAAUCUCAGGAGGAGCAACUUCAAACUCAAUUAUCUUUGCUGGCCUAACCAUGCUGAAACUCCAUACAUUGCCAAAGCUCAAGUGCAUCCAUCCAUCAAUAGACAAUUUGGAAUGGCCCAAGUUAGAAAAAUUACUUGUCUAUCAAUGUGGUCAGCUGAAGAAUUUCCCACCAUUAGGUCAAGAUUAUUUUGCAAAAGACACAAAAGCCACUAUCUCACAUUAGAAAAGGUUUUUCCCAACCUAAAGCAAUUGUCACUCAGCAAGAAACACAUCAUGCAAAUUUGGCAAUCUCCAUUCCAGGCAAAGCUUCUUCAGAGAGUGAAAUCUCUCAAAUUGAAAUUCUUUAUUGAUGAUUCACAUGAAUUUCCAUUUGGAUUUUUCCAGAAGGAAUCGUUGCCCCAUUUAGAAGAGCUUGGAUUGUCUCGUAGUAACUUCAAAGAGUUAUUCACCUCUAAAAGUUCUGAUCUGGAUGGCUAUUUUGUUGUGUUCUUUUCACAACUAAAGACCUUAAAAUUGAGUUCUUUGUCACAAAGCUAAGGGGUCUGACUAUAACGAAAUGUGAUAGAUUAGUAUAUUUGUUCACAUCUUCAACUGCAAAAAGUUAUCUCUACUCAAAAAGUUGUCCGUAUGGAAUUGUGAAUCAAUGCAACAAAUAGUUGCUAAAGGAGAUGAAUCGGGUCAAGACGUGAUAACAUUUGAGAAUCUCAAAGAAUUGUUUAUCAGCGAUCUUCCAAGACUUGAUAGCUUUUACCCGGGGACUUGCAAUUUGAAAUUCCCUUCCUUGGAACAAGUUUCAAUAUUCGACUGCUCUCAGAUGAAGGUUUCUCUCAUGCUGAUAUAUAUGCACCGGAUAAUGUGACUAUUGAUUAUCUUUUGGAUAAUAAUCUUAGAGCUAUGCUGGAGAAGGCCUUCAAGAAGGCAGCCUGAUGAGUUAUUACAAAUGAGAAAUUUUGCACUGUUAUCGGAAAUCAUCUUUUACAAGACAAGCUUAUUUUGGUUCUGCUUCUCAGUCACACCGCUUUAAAGUAAAUACAUGUAUAUAUUAUUACUCUUUGAAGUUAUGCAGGUUGAGGGAGAUUGGAAUCGUCCUUGUCAUUUUCCUUGGGUUGAUGAUGUAGAAAUUGAAGACUAGGUUUGUGUGGAUUCUCAGUUCCAGAUUGUAAGUUGUAAAAUAUUCAGAGAUGAAAACUUACUGAAUUCCAAUUUGAGGUGGUGACCUUUAUAUUUGAAUCAGAAGGAACUCUGGACAAAUUGUUUGAAUGACAUUGAUAAGAAAACGAACGCUUGUCAGUUGAGAAUGUGUGCGCUUUUUAA